CGAGAAGGCGCCGCGUCGCACCCGGGUGGCUGGGUUGGCAGCCCGGCCGGCGGCGCGGAGGAGAGGGCGCAGGGGUCCUCCUGGCCGUCUUCCGCUCCCCUCCCGGCUUUUGCCUCUGUCAGGCCCCGCCUGGCCCGGGCCUGCGGCCGCCAGUGACCUGUUUCCUUCCACCUGGGCGGGUCGGGGGCUGCGGGCAUUGGGGCCCCUUAAGGAAACCCAGGCCUCCAGGAACCCCGCCGCUCCAGGACACGGCGCGGAGGGAGUGAUUGAGCGACGACCGAGGCAGGGGUGAUGUGGUACCGCGAAUGCUGGGGAAACGGCAGGAAUGAUGACCCGGCCGGACCUUAGACCCGAGAUCGAUGAGAGGCCGCCAGCACGGCCCGGGAGACGGCCCGCGCUUCUGCCCCUCCUGCUGCGGCCUCCGCCAGACCCCGGUGUUAUUUCCUGCCCCUCCUGUCGGGAACAAUUUGAGGAACCAACUUAAUCGCUUGGCUUUGAGGGCGCGACGCUUCCAGGCGCUCUCCUCGGCUGUGUCCCGCGGACCCGUGGAGCCUGGGUGACGGCGCCUGGGCCGGAGGAGGGGAGAUGUUUGCGGUCCCUGGCUAAGAUGAAUCAGCGUGACCGUCCCGUCACCCUUGAGGGAAAAAAAAAAAGUUUCAAGAAGGCUUGAAAGGACCUAGCCAGGAAGACCUCCGGGAGUAAAAGUUGAGGCUUUAAAAGCAUGGCAAAGAUGGAAGAUUCGGAGAAAUUCCAUCCAUGUGUAUUUGGGAAAGAAAUCAGGAGCUUGGCUGAGAAGUAAGAGUGUUCUUCCCACUCCAGUCCCCAAAGCCACCAGUCAGCCUAGUCCAUCUUCAGUUUGAAAAUAGGAAGAGAUGGAACCUAAAUCCAUUCACUAAUGAACUUUUGGAUCUCGGGUGGAUUUGAGUUCCAGGAGGCUCUGUCAAUUUGACCAGAGGUUUUCAGCCCAAAUGACAACACGGUGAAGCAUAUAAGUGGGGAGUCCUGGUGCCUUGCCUGUGAGGGCCUUCACAAACUUCAGAGCGUGAUGGCACUGCCAGAGAGAAGAGAAUUCACCGUGGACACCCAGCCUAGUGCCUGGCAGCUGGCAGAUGGUACAUGAGGACACCUGGAAAACAACAUUCAUUGCGGCAUCCCGUGUGAUAGAGGAGUUGCAGGCAACCUAAGGUGUCCCUCAUUGGGAGAGUAGGAAAGUACACUGUUGAAGAGAGGCAGACACUUGGACCAGAUGGAAGCAACGAACUCAAGGACAUCAAGGGCUCCGGAUAUUGUGAAAGUUUCCCUUUAAGUUACGACUGGAAUCCAGAACAACGCCGUAUGGACCGCUCUGUGGGGAGCGCGGAAAGCUCUCAGCACAUCUUAACAGGAGGCACAUGAUGUCCAUCGGUACCAUCUGUGAAGAUAUUAAUCUUCGUUACUGGAUUAAGCAUCUGCCAGAUUUCUCUACGGACAAUGGAGUUUUAAUGUACAGCAAAAUUCAAUAAGCAAAAGGUAAGUCCCAGUAAAAUUAAACAGGGCAAAAGACACAUAUAGUUAUACAAGCAGAAAUACACAGUCCUGUCUACACCUGAAAAACCUCAUGGAAGCAAAACAGGUCUCUUGCCUCCGUCACGUCCCAUGGUUAGAAGAAAACAAACAUUUUGAACCCUCUCUAAUCCUAGCCCCCCAAACAAAUGAACUCCAGAGCAUUUCCUGUAAGUUGCUGACUAUUUAAUGCAAACAACUUUAUCCCAGACUUUUGCAAAACUGCUGUCUGAAGACUACUCCAGCCUUUGUAGAAACGAUAACCCCGUAAGAAAAUUGCUGGUUUUCUGUCAUGAACACACCAACUGUAAAUUCAGUCACGUUGGUAAUUUAGCAGUGUUUGGUGUUAAUGACCUGUUGUGUUUGUUAUCUGAUGAGCAGUUCCUUCUGAGGUCCCCAUAUUUCUUGCAAGUAAACUUUUUCCUUUUCUAAAUGCUGUUAUCUCCAGAUCUUCAACUUACUGAUACUUAAAUGCAAAUUGAAAAUAUGAAGAUACCAUUUUCGCCUAUUAAAUGAGCAAAGUUGUAUUUUCCAAGAUAUUGCUCCAUGCCAGAUGCAUGGGCGCUAACCUGGGCACUCAUACGUGGCUGGUAGGCAGUUGAGUCAUAUUUAUUGAAAGCUUUGAAAAUCUACCCUUCAAAUCCUGUAAUUCUACCACUAGCAAUAGACCAAUGGAUAUAUUAGGUUGUGUAUCCCCAAAUUAAAACAAAACACUAAAAAUGCCAUCAACUUAUACAUGGUUAAGUAUAUUUCCUAAGGAUAUUUAAUACUAUGGGAAAAUGCUCUUGGUUUAAUACAAACUGAAAAAAAAAAGGGAUCAUAUAGGGUGAUUGAAAUUUUGACAUCAAAACCAUAUAUAUGGCAUCCAAAAAACUCGAGGAAAAAGAAAGCAUUUUAAUUACCACUCUUUUCCUUUCUUUAAGAAGAAAAAUAAAUCAUUCUAUUCUGCUGACGUUUAAUAACAGAGAACAGUAAAACUUCUUCAGCUCAAUUAAUUUAGAAUCAUAUAUAAUGUUCUGUGUUAAAGUGGAUGAAACUGGAUGUGAUGGUUAGGAAUGAAGAAAAUAAGCAAGAGGGGGCAGAGAAAGAAAAGGGAGAAGGUUGGGCACAGUGGCUUACACCUGUAAUCCCAUAACUUUGGGAGACUGAGGCGGGCAGAUCACCUGAGGUCAGGAGUUCCAGACCAGCCUGGCCAACAUGGUGAAACCCCGUCUCUACUAAAAACACACAAAAAGUUAGCUGGGCGUGGUGGCACACGCCUGUAAUCCCAGCUACUUGGGAUGCUGAGGCACGAGAAUAACUUGAACCUGAUAGUCAGAGGUUGCAGUGAGCCGAGAUCACACCAUUGCACUCCAGCCUGGGCAACAGAGUGAGACUCUGUCUCA
ensembl:lncRNA